rnacentral:rRNA from 1 species
GUGGGCCUCAAGACUAAAGCCAUGCACGUCUAGUACAAACUAAAUGAUGGUGAAACUGCAAAUGGCUACAACAACGGUUAUGAUGUACCCGGGAGUUCCGAUGGAUAUUUCCAGUAACACUAGAACUAAUACAUGUCCCUGCGUUUAUUAGUUUCGCACAGUCCGUCGCUGAGUCAUGGUAAACAGUUGAUCGACUCGACGUCCCGGAACAGUUUCCGCCCCAUCAGCUUCGAUGGUUGGGUAUUGGCCUACCAUUGCAACAACGGGUAACGAGGAAUUAGGGUUUGAUUUCGGAGAGGGAGCCUGAGAAACGGCUACCACAUCUACGGAUGGCAGCAGGCGCGCAAAUUACCCAAUGCAGACACUGUGAGGUAGUGACGAGAAAUAAUAAAGCGGGACUUCUGUUUCGCUAUUAUAAUGAGGAAUAACCAAAGGUCAUUCCGAUUAGCAACUGAUGGGAAAGUCUGGUGCCAGCAGCCGCGGUAAUACCAGCGUCAGUA